rnacentral:misc_RNA from 1 species
GAUGAAGAACGUAGCGAAAUGCGAUAAGUAAUGUGAAUUGCAGAAUUCAGUGAAUCAUCGAAUCUUUGAACGCACAUUGCGCCCGUCAGUAUUCUGGCGGGCAUUCCUGUUCGAGCGUCAUUACGCCCCUCAAGUCCCCUGUGGACUUGGUGUUGGGGAUCGGCGAGGCUGGUUUUCCAGCACAGCCGUCCCUUAAAUUAAUUGGCGGUCUCGCCGUGGCCCUCCUCUGCGCAGUAGUAAAACACUCGCAACAGGAGCCCGGCGCGGUCCACUGCCGUAAAACCCCCCAACUUUUUAUAGUUGACCUCGAAUCAGGUAGGACUACCCGCUGAACUUAAGCAUAUCAAUAAGCGGAGGA